GAUGAACGCUGGCGGCGUGCCUAAUACAUGCAAGUCGAGCGAACAGACGAGGAGCUUGCUCCUCUGACGUUAGCGGCGGACGGGUGAGUAACACGUGGAUAACCUACCUAUAAGACUGGGAUAACUUCGGGAAACCGGAGCUAAUACCGGAUAAUAUAUUGAACCGCAUGGUUCAAUAGUGAAAGACGGUUUUGCUGUCACUUAUAGAUGGAUCCGCGCCGCAUUAGCUAGUUGGUAAGGUAACGGCUUACCAAGGCAACGAUGCGUAGCCGACCUGAGAUGGUGAUCGGCCACACUGGACCUGAGACACGGUCCAGACUCCUACGGGAGGCAGCAGUGGGGAAUCUUCCGCAAUGGGCGAAAGCCUGACGGAGCAACGCCGCGUGGGUGAUGAAGGUCUGCGGAUCGUAAAACUCUGUUAUUAGGGAAGAACAAAUGUGUAAGUAACUAUGCACGUCUUGACGGUACCUAAUCAGAAAGCCACGGCUAACAACGU
rnacentral:rRNA from 1 species